rnacentral:rRNA from 1 species
AGCGGCGGACGGGUGAGUAACACGUGGGUAACCUGCCCAAGAGACUGGGAUAACACCUGGAAACAGAUGCUAAUACCGGAUAACAGCACUAGACGCAUGUCUAGAGUUUGAAAGAUGGUUCUGCUAUCACUCUUGGAUGGACCUGCGGUGCAUUAGCUAGUUGGUAAGGUAACGGCUUACCAAGGCAAUGAUGCAUAGCCGAGUUGAGAGACUGAUCGGCCACAUUGGGACUGAGACACGGCCCAAACUCCUACGGGAGGCAGCAGUAGGGAAUCUUCCACAAUGGACGAAAGUCUGAUGGAGCAACGCCGCGUGAGUGAAGAAGGGUUUCGGCUCGUAAAGCUCUGUUGGUAGUGAAGAAAGAUAGAGGUAGUAACUGGCCUUUAUUUGACGGUAAUUACUUAGAAAGUCACGGCUAACUACGUGCCAGCAGCCGCGGUAAUACGUAGGUGGCAAGCGUUGUCCGGAUUUAUUGGGCGUAAAGCGAGUGCAGGCGGUUCAAUAAGUCUGAUGUGAAAGCCUUCGGCUCAACCGGAGAAUUGCAUCAGAAACUGUUGAACUUGAGUGCAGAAGAGGAGAGUGGAACUCCAUGUGUAGCGGUGGAAUGCGUAGAUAUAUGGAAGAACACCAGUGGCGCAGGCGGCUCUCUGGUCUGCAACUGACGCUGAGGCUCGAAAGCAUGGGUAGCGAACAGGAUUAGAUACCCUGGUAGUCCAUGCCGUAAACGAUGAGUGCUAAGUGU